rnacentral:rRNA from 1 species
AGAGUUUGAUCCUGGCUCAGGACGAACGCUGACGGUGUGCUUUAGGCAUGCAAGUCGAACGAGAAAGCCCUUUGGGGUGAGUAAAGUGGCGAACGGGUGAGUAACACGUGGGCAACCUGCCCCUCGCAGGGGGACAACCGGAGGAAACUCCGGCUAAUACCCCGUACGCUUGUUGGAUCGCAUGGUCCGGCAAGGAAAGGUAGCUUCGGCCAUCCGGCGAGGGAUGGGCCCGCGUUGCAUUAGCUAGUUGGUGGGGUAACGGCCUACCAAGGCGACGAUGCGUAGCUGGUCUGAGAGGAUGAUCAGCCACACUGGGACUGAGACACGGCCCAGACUCCUACGGGAGGCAGCAGCCAGGAAUCUUGGGCAAUGGGCGAAAGCCUGACCCAGCAACACCGUGUGGGCGAUGAAGGCCUUAGGGUCGUAAAGCCCUGUUGAUAGGGACGAAGGGCGAAGGGUUAAUAGCCCCUAGCUUGACGGUACCUUUCGAGGAAGCCCCGGCUAACUACGUGCCAGCAGCCGCGGUAAUACGUAGGGGGCGAGCGUUGUCCGGAAUUAUUGGGCGUAAAGAGCGUGUAGGCGGUUCGGUAAGUCUGCUGUGAAAUCCUGGGGCUCAACCCUGGGCGUGCAGCGGAUACUGCCGGGCUAGAGGGUGGUAGAGGCGAGUGGAAUUCCGAGUGUAGCGGUGAAAUGCGCAGAUAUUCGGAGGAACACCAGUAGCGAAGGCGGCUCGCUGGGCCACACCUGGCGCUGAGACGCGAAAGCGUGGGGAGCGAACAGGAUUAGAUACCCCCGUAGUCC